UUCGCGUUUCGGCCGUCGGAGUGGAACGUUUAUAUGACGGAUUGCGUUCGGCGUCGUCUGCGUUUUACGUUCUUCGAAUCGAUGUCGAACGCGUGCACUUUUCCUCUAGUAGGACGUCGCGAUCCGUUGGGUGUCUGUCUAAGGUUUGAAGUGGAGACCACUCGAUUUCUGAUCGUGUGGACCUUCGAUAUCCCGACAGACUCGCUCGACGGUAUACUAAUGGCGCGGGGCCGCUAUUUCAGUUAGCGUUCGGCCCGUAGCAAGCACUUUCCGUGUUUGACAGCGAUCGGACCCGGUGCCGAUUCUGUCCCGGAUUGACUGUUGGUUACGGUGUUCUCGAACAGACCUCG
rnacentral:rRNA from 1 species